ACUUUUGAUCCUCCCUUCUACACCACUGCAGCUCCACCCUUCUACACCACUGCAGCUCCACCCAAAGUAAUUACUAUUCUCGAGAUGAAGGUGAAGACGUUGACUGAAGAAGAGCGUCAGGCUGAACUGUUUGAGAUUGGCAAAGUGCUGGAGAGUUUCUUAAGAGCGAAUUAUACUGGCAUAUUCUCUGUUAAAGUCACGAAAAUUAAAAAGUUAUCACCAUAGAACUGAGUCAUUGUCUUCAUUUUUCUAUUUUUGAGAUUUGUUUAUGAGGAUUGCACUGAAAUUAUGAGGAAGAACUCUUGU